GCGCUCGUAGCUCAAUUGGAUAGAGUGCUGGACUUCGAAUCCAUAGGUUGCAGGUUCGAGCCCUGCCGGGCGCG
rnacentral:tRNA from 1 species